UACGAAGGGGGCUAGCGUUGUUCGGAUUUACUGGGCGUAAAGCGCACGUAGGCGGAUCGUUAAGUCGGGGGUGAAAUCCUGGAGCUCAACUCCAGAACUGCCUUCGAUACUGGCGAUCUUGAGUCCGGAAGAGGUGAGUGGAACUCCUAGUGUAGAGGUGGAAUUCGUAGAUAUUAGGAAGAACACCAGUGGCGAAGGCGGCUCACUGGUCCGGUACUGACGCUGAGGUGCGAAAGGCGUGGGGAGCAAACAGGAUUGAGAA
rnacentral:rRNA from 1 species